UUUAAUAAUAAAAAUAUUAUACUAAAGCAUUAAAUGAUUUAUUCAUAAAACUUAAAAAAUUUGGCGGUAUUUUAGUCUUAUCAGAGGAAUUUGUUUAUUAAACGAUAAUCCACGAUUUACCUUACUUAAAUUUUAUAAUUUGUAUAUCAUUGUCAUUAGAAUAUAUUAUUAGAUAAAUAAUUUUCAAAAUUUUAGAUUUUUAAAAAGAAUGUCAAAUCAAGGUGCAGUUUAUAUUUAAGUUAAAAAUGAAUUACAAUAAAAAUUAUUUAUGGAUAUAUAAUUAAAAUUAUUUUUAAAAUUGGAUUUGAAAGUAAAUAAAGAAAGAAAAAUUUAUUGAUUUUAGCUCUAAAAUAUGC
rnacentral:rRNA from 1 species